rnacentral:rRNA from 1 species
CAGUCGCCACGGUAAUACAGAGGGUGCGAGCGUUAAUCGGAUUUACUGGGCGUAAAGCGUGCGUAGGCGGCUUCUUAAGUCGGAUGUGAAAUCCCUGAGCUUAACUUAGGAAUUGCAUUCGAUACUGGGAAGCUAGAGUAUGGGAGAGGAUGGUAGAAUUCCAGGUGUAGCGGUGAAAUGCGUAGAGAUCUGGAGGAAUACCGAUGGCGAAGGCAGCCAUCUGGCCUAAUACUGACGCUGAGGUACGAAAGCAUGGGGAGCAAACAGGAUUAGAUACCCCAGUAGUCCCUGUCUCUUAUAU